GCGUAGAGAUNUGGAGGAANANCCGGUGGCGAAGGCGGNCCCCNUGGACGANGANUGACGNUCAGGUGCGAAAGCGUGGGGAGCAAACAGGAUNAGAUACCCUGGUAGUCCACGCCGUAAACGAUGUCGACUUGGAGGUUGUGCCCUUGAGGCGUGGCUUCNGGAGCUAACGCGUUAAGUCGACCGCCCGGGGAGUACGGCCGCAAGGUUAAAACUCAAAUGAAUUGACGGGGGCCCGCACAAGCGGUGGAGCAUGUGGUUUAAUUCGAUGCAACGCGAAGAACCUUACCUGGUCUUGACAUCCACGGAAGUUUUCAGAGAUGAGAAUGUGCCUUCGGGAACCGUGAGACAGGUGCUGCAUGGCUGUCGUCAGCUCGUGUUGUGAAAUGUUGGGUUAAGUCCCGCAACGAGCGCAACCCUUAUCCUUUGUUGCCGGCGGUCCGGCCGGGAACUCAAAGGAGACUGCCAGUGAUAAACUGGAGGAAGGUGGGGAUGACGUCAAGUCAUCAUGGCCCUUACGACCAGGGCUACACACGUGCUACAAUGGCGCAUACAAAGAGAAGCGACCUCGCGAGAGCAAGCGGACCUCAUAAAGUGCGUCGUAGUCCGGAUUGGAGUCUGCAACUCGACUCCAUGAAGUCGGAAUCGCUAGUAAUCGUGGAUCAGAAUGCCACGGUGAAUACGUUCCCGGGCCUUGUACACACCGCCCGUCACACCAUGGGAGUGGGUUGCAAAAGAAGUAGGUAGCUUAACCUUCGGGAGGGCGCUUACCACUUUGUGAUUCAUGACUGGGGUGAAGUCGUAACAAGGUAGCAAUCACUAGUGAAUUCGCGGCCGCCUGCAGGUCGACCAUANGGGAGAGCUCCCNACGC
rnacentral:rRNA from 1 species